rnacentral:rRNA from 1 species
AAUGAACGUUGGCGGCGUGGAUUAGGCAUGCAAGUCGAGCGAGAACCCGCAAGGGGGACAGCGGCAAACGGGGUAGUAAUGUGUCGGAACGUGCCCUCUGGACGGGGAUAGCGGCGGGAAACUGCCGGUAAUACCCGAUGAACUCGAGAGAGCAAAGGUGUGAUUCCGCCGGAGGAGCGGCCGACAUGGUAUUAGCUAGUUGGCGGGGUAACGGCCCACCAAGGCUGUGAUGCCUAGGGGAUGUGAGAGCAUGAUCCCCACCAUUGGGACUGAGACACUGCCCAGACACCUACGGGUGGCUGCAGUCGAGAAUCUUCGUCAAUGGGCGAAAGCCUGAACGAGCGACGCCGCGUGCGGGAUGAAGGCCCUUGGGUUGUAAACCGCUGUCGAGGGGGAUGAAGGCAUUCAGGUACUCCUGAAUGUUUGACAGAGCCCUGGAGGAAGCACGGGCUAAGUUCGUGCCAGCCGCCGCCGUAACAC